UUGUGGAUGGAGAGCAGGUUCUUGGAGGAUAAUGUGAAUAAUAAACUAUACAACUUUCUGAGGAUCCCCAACCAUCCUUAUCUCGCUUUUUAUCGAAACAAGAUUGUUGAAUACCGAAAUGCUCAUCAGAAACAAUGUAUCAAACCUCCUUGUUCUACUAAUUAUGUUGCACAGCCUCCAGUUGUAGAAAUUAAGUGUCCUGAAGGGAUGAAACCCAAUGAUUUUGGCGUUAUCAAACUCACAGCUCAGUUUGUGGUGCGGUAUGGGAGGCAUUUCUGGCCCGAUUUGGUGAAUAGUGUGACUAUGAACCCGAAACCCCAAUUUGCCUUUAUCAAUGCAAGUGAUUGCAGAUUUAAUGUUCUACUUGAGCUUGUUGAUGCUUAUGCUAAAAUUUUAAUGCCUUACUGGAAGCGGCCAGCGAGUAAACCUAACCAACAUGCUUGCAAAGAAACCUUGUUUGCCUGUGCCGCUUCCAAAGGGAUCUCAGUGGCGUUUCCUUCUCCGCCACUGUCACUACCUGAGGAACCAGAACCAAAGAGACAAGCUUAAUAAGUCAGCACUUGUUCCAGAAGACCAGUUUCUCGUUCAACAUUCGGUUAACGUUUUUUCCCUGUUUUUUUUUCUUGUUUGACUUGACUUGUAACUGAUCAGCAGUCGCACAUUUUCAGGGUUCUGUUACAAUCAGGGUUUCUUUUCCAAACGUGAACAGUGAGCAAGUCACUGAGAUCACUCUGCAGUCGUUAUCAGAAAACGUGGCAAGUUUGAAGGAGAAAAAUAGCUAGGAAGAUCCAAAUUCCAGCAAACAAACAGAAGUUAUGGGGAAAAGCCGGAUUUCUAAAGAAGGACAACAUGUCAUUGGCACAUUACUGUGUGGGAGCAGGAGAAACUCUAAUUAUGUCUUUGUGAGAACGUGGGGAGGAGAGAAAACGCUUUCCAUCUCUUAUUUGGUUGAUGUGGCCAUGUACCGGUUUUAACUUUGUUUUCGAUUGGCAGCUACUUUUGAUUUUUGAAGUUUGUUUUGGAUUGGCAGCUACUUAUGAUAGUCUUAAAAACAUAUAUAUGUGAUGCUUUUCAUGUCAUGGUUGUUUUGGAUUGGCAGAUAGUCUUCAACAUAUUCUCAGUAUGAGGGCUUGGUGGUGCUUAACGGCGGAGAUCGGAAGGAUCUGGACGAGGAUUUGAAGUCGGGGGUAUACAGGAUCGACGCGAAGCUGAGGCUUAGGGUGAGGUUUAAGUUUGGGUUGAUCAAGUCGUGGAGGUUUAGGCCCAAGGUUAGGUGUGAUCUCAAGGUUCCUCUCGGUUCCUCUAAUGUAACCAGCGGGUUUCAGUUUCAGCGGACCAAGUGUGACAUUGACUUUUGAUGCUAGUCAAAGUCAAAUGCUAUUGUGUUCGGAUUUUAUUUUCAUUUAUAUGCACUUGUUUAUUUUAUCUUUCGAUUGUUUUUCGUACAUGGACUUUAUGUGAUAUUGUUGGAGAGGUAUAUAUGUUUUGUGUAAUAAUCUUUUAGCGUAUGGUUCCAUGUAAAUAAAAUAGUUUUUCGUAUAAAUAUAUGAAUUAUCAUUUAGAAUGAAGCAUAACUGAAAAAAGAAAAGAAUGAAGCAUGACGGUACAAGUACACUAGAGAAGUAUUUCUCAAAAAAAAAGUACACGAGAGAAGCGGUCAAACAGUUUGUUGCCAAAAAAAAUAAAAAAAUAGAGAGGCUUACUUGUUAGGAUAGAAAUGUCUAACUAACACACAAUUAAGAAAACUUCAACCAGAGCUGAAGUUUCCGAUAUUUCUGGAGCUCCUUCCUUACGAUAAUGAUGUUUGGAUGGUUCUCAAUAAAUAGUUUUAUAUAUUGAUGCUCGGGGUGUGGAUGUAUUGAUGUUUUAUCUCCUCCUUAAUCAACCUAUAGAAGAUCUGAUUGUUCAUCUGUUUUUUUUGGUAGAAAAAGAUGUCCAGUUCAAGUGAGGAUGAUCCAAACAUUGAUCCAGAAGUCAGGUUUAUUAUGGAGGGAACUGCACGUUUGGUCGCCAAGCAUGGGUUGUGGAUGGAGAGCAGGUUCUUGGAGGAUAAUGUGAAUAAUAAACUAUACAACUUUCUGAGGAUCCCCAACCAUCCUUAUCUCGCUUUUUAUCGAAACAAGAUUGUUGAAUACCGAAAUGCUCAUCAGAAACAAUGUAUCAAACCUCCUUGUUCUACUAAUUAUGUUGCACAGCCUCCAGUUGUAGAAAUUAAGUGUCCUGAAGGGAUGAAACCCAAUGAUUUUGGCGUUAUCAAACUCACAGCUCAGUUUGUGGUGCGGUAUGGGAGGCAUUUCUGGCCCGAU
rnacentral:lncRNA from 1 species